AUCACAGCAGUGCCGACGUCGUGGGUGUUUGGUGUGAGGCUGCGAGCCGCCGCGAGUUCUCACGGUCCCGCCGGCGCCACCACCGCGGUCACUCACCGCCGCCGCCGCCACCACUGCCACCACGGUCGCCUGCCACAGGUGGAGUCUCACUCUGUUGCCCAGGCUGGAGUGCAGUGGCACAAUCUCAGCUCACUGCAACCGCUGCUUCCCAGGUUCAAGCCAUUCUCCUGCCUCAGCCUCCCGAGUAGCUGGGAUUACAGGUGCCCACCACCACGCACAGGUAGCAUGCCCAGGUAAUUUUUGUAUUUUUAGUAGAGACGGGGUUUCACCAUGUUGGCCAGGCUGGUUUCAAACUCCUGACCUAAAUGAUCUGCCCGCCUCGGCCUCCUGAAGUGCUAAGAUUACAGGUGUGAGCCCCCGUGCCUGGCCUUCAGGAUGAUUUUAUUUUAAACCCCUAGAAAGCAGAGAGUAGGAUCAAAACCUUUAGGUUUGGAAGGCUCUUUACAGAUUUCAUUGUCUAACUAGCUGCUUUGCUUGGCUUUGAUGGUCUUCUGUGUCUAACCCA
rnacentral:lncRNA from 10 species